rnacentral:rRNA from 1 species
UGACGGACGAGUGGAAGCGGACAAAAGCUCAAAUUGUUGAAAAUCCCACGGGAAAUGUGUAAUUUGAAAGAAAGAAUGUUGGGUUCCGGCCGGCAGGGGUUAAGUCCACUGGAAAGUGGCGCCACAGAGGGUGACAGCCCCGUGAACCCCUUCAACGCCCUCAUCCCAGAUCUCCAAGAGUCGAGUUGUUUGGGAAUGCAGCUCUAAGUGGGUGGUAAAUUCCAUCUAAAGCUUAAUACCGGCGAGAGACCGAUAACGAACAAGUACAGUGAUGGAAAGAUGAAAAGCACUUUUGAAAAAGAGAAUUAAGAAGGGGAGG